GAAACAGGCCGCCUUAUCGCCCGUUAACCAUUACGGGAGGAAAGUCCGGACACCAUAGGGCAGCAUAGCGGGUAACGCCCGUCACCCCGCGCAGGUGGGGGAGGACAAGUGCAACAGAAAGUAUGUACAGGUAAUGCUGUAGUGAAACCAGGUAAACUCUAUGCGGUGAAAUGCCAUGUAUACCGGCUAUAUGUAGGGCUGCCCGCCCGAUGCCGGGGGGUAGGCAGAUAGAUACAGGCAGUAAUGCCUGUGCCAGAUAAAUGAUAAGGGUUCUUUUUUAAGGAUACAGAAUCCGGCUUACAGGCCUGUUUUUUUA
rnacentral:RNase_P_RNA from 1 species